rnacentral:rRNA from 1 species
UACGUAGGGGGCGAGCGUUGUCCGGAUUUAUUGGGCGUAAAGAGCGCGUAGGCGGCUGGAUUAGUCCGGUGUGAAAUCCACAGGCUUAACCUGUGAAUGGCGCGGGAAACUGUCUGGCUAGAGUCCGGAAGGGGCGAGUGGAAUUCCUGGUGUGGCGGUGAAAUGCGCAGAUAUCAGGAGGAACGCCAAUGGCGAAGGCAGCUCGCUGGGGCGGUGCUGACGCUGAGGCGCGAAAGCGUGGGGAGCGAACGGG